CUCCGGGUUGAUCCCGCCGGACCCGACUGCUAUCAGAGUGGGACUAAGCCAUGCGAGUCAACAUAGCAAUAUGUGGCAUACGGCUCAGUAACACGUAGUCAACAUGCCCAGGGGACGUGGAUAACCUCGGGAAACUGAGGAUAAACCGCGAUAGGUCAUCACUUCUGGAAUGGGUAAUGACUUAAAUCUAUAUGGCCCCUGGAUUGGACUGCGGCCGAUCAGGCUGUUGGUGAGGUAAUGGCCCACCAAACCUGUAACCGGUACGGGCUCUGAGAGGAGGAGCCCGGAGAUGGGCACUGAGACAAGGGCCCAGGCCCUAUGGGGCGCAGCAGGCGCGAAACCUCUGCAAUAGGCGAAAGCUUGACAGGGUUACUCUGAGUGAUUUCCGUUAAGGAGAUCUUUUGGCACCUCUAAAAAUGGUGCAGAAUAAGGGGUGGGCAAGUCUGGUGUCAGCCGCCGCGGUAAUACCAGCACCCCGAGUGGUCGGGACGUUUAUUGGGCCUAAAGCAUCCGUAGCCGGUUCUACAAGUCUUCCGUUAAAUCCACCUGCUUAACAGAUGGGCUGCGGAAGAUACUAUAGAGCUAGGAGGCGGGAGAGGCAAGCGGUACUCGAUGGGUAGGGGUAAAAUCCGUUGAUCCAUUGAAGACCACCAGUGGCGAAGGCGGCUUGCCAGAACGCGCUCGACGGUGAGGGAUGAAAGCUGGGGGAGCAAACCGGAUUAGAUACCCGGGUAGUCCCAGCUGUAAACGAUGCAGACUCGGUGAUGAGUUGGCUUAUUGCUAACUCAGUGCCGCAGGGAAGCCGUUAAGUUUGCCGCCUGGGGAGUACGGUCGCAAGACUGAAACUUAAAGGAAAUGGGCGGGGGAGCA
rnacentral:rRNA from 1 species